CCCCUCUCCUCCUUUCCCUCCCCAGCUUGCCAUGAAGGGCCCCCCCGGCCCCAUGGGGCUCACCGGCCGCCCGGGUCCUCUGGUGAGUGCUGCUGGCGUGGGGGCUGCUGCGGGACCCCCUUGGGGUGCCCACCUUGCACCGGGGUCUUUGGGCACCCCAGCAGACCCCCAGUGGCGGGGGCUCCACGCUCUCCGUUUUUUUUUAGGGUCUGCCAGGGCACCCGGGCCUGAAAGGGGACGCAGGGGACAUGGGGCCGCGGGGUCCCCGGGGACUGCAGGGACCCCCGGGACCACCGGGGAAGCUGGGCAGACGGGGUCGCGCUGGAGCAGACGGUGCCAGGGGACUCCCGGGGGACACCGGACCCAAGGGUGACCGGGGCUUCGAUGGUUUGCCGGGGCUACCGGGGGAGAAAGGCCACAGGGGUGACGUGGGGAAGCCAGGACCUGCGGGCACCCCCGGGGAGAAAGGAGCCAGGGUGAGGAGCCUGAGGGGGGGGGG
rnacentral:lncRNA from 1 species